rnacentral:rRNA from 1 species
GUGGGGAAUAUUGCACAAUGGGCGAAAGCCUGAUGCAGCGACGCCGCGUGAGGGAUGGAGGCCUUCGGGUUGUAAACCUCUUUCAGCAGGGAAGAAGCGCAAGUGACGGUACCUGCAGAAGAAGCGCCGGCUAACUACGUGCCAGCAGCCGCGGUAAUACGUAGGGCGCAAGCGUUGUCCGGAAUUAUUGGGCGUAAAGAGCUCGUAGGUGGUCUGUCGCGUCUGGUGUGAAAUCCCGAGGCUCAACCUCGGGCUUGCAUCGGGUACGGGCAGACUAGAGUGCGGUAGGGGAGACUGGAAUUCCUGGUGUAGCGGUGGAAUGCGCAGAUAUCAGGAGGAACACCGAUGGCGAAGGCAGGUCUCUGGGCCGCAACUGACGCUGAGGAGCGAAAGCAUGGGGAGCGAACAGGAUUAGAAACCCGAGUAGUCC